CAGCACUGCAAGCGUGAAUACUAGCACUUCCAGUUCCAUGUUUAUCUUUGGACACAGAAGGAAAAAUUUCACUAGAAGACUCAGCAAUAUUGCGAGUUUAAGAGUAUUGUAGGUGCCUGGUGGAACAACUUGAGAAGCAAAGAUAUUGGCAAGGAUGGCAGUAAACCUCCAGCAGGAACUUGAAGUCAGUGAGAGCAGGCUGGCCACAAGAUGGCAGAAUUGCCUAUUGCACGUUCCCAAGCGGAACAGCUUGGCCUGGCUUUCCGAGCCACAGGGAGCGACUGCCGCUUCUGCCUUGCGUGGAAAUGACAUGGGGUAUGGAUAUUCAUUAUUAGAGGAAGAAGCAAACAAAACAGCCUUAAAAGUACUUAAGGCCUAAUCCUGCAACGAUGCAAGCACUUCCAUAAUAUUACUCAAAGAAGUAGUUCCACAGAAGUCAGCUACUCAUUAAAGCAAACUUGUUCAAUGCUAGAAGCUUUUGCCAGUCACUUAAACAUACCGUUCUGCGGUAUUUUUAUAUAAACAGAAACACCGUUUCCAAUUAAAAAAAAGCGUUCUACUAGUUUAGCUUUUUUUUUCCCUUUCAGAUAAUUUAUUAAAUUAUAUUGGCGACAGAUCUUUUCUCAUAUAAACUAUCUUUAGCAUUAGGAAAAUGGAUUGCUGGCAUAGCUAUGCUCCCAAAACAUUUAAUAACGCUGAGCAACCACUGGCAAGGUGCACUGCGUUCAAUUAAUAAAAAUCAUGCUGUGCUCAUUACAAAAAUGUCUGCAUAAUAAGACUGCAUAGGAAAAUGCCUUUUUCAUGCUAGGUUUUUAAUCUC